rnacentral:rRNA from 1 species
UACGAAGGGUGCAAACGUUGCUCGGAAUUAUUGGGCGUAAAGCGCACGUAGGCGGACUUUUAAGUCCGUGGUGAAAUCUCCGGGCUCAACCCGGAAACUGCCAUGGAUACUAUUUGUCUUGAAUGUUGUUGAGGUGGGCGGAACGGGUCAUGUAGCGGUGAAAUGCAUAGAUAUGACCCGGAACACCGAUUGCGAAGGCAGCCCACUAAGCAAUGAUUGACGCUGAGGCACGAAAGCGUGGGGAUCAAACAGG